GCGCAGCCUGGAGAGGCCAGUGAAGGAAGAAGAGAGGAAAUGACAGAGCACACUUUGGGGGAUGACAGAAGUCUACAGAUGAAAAUAAUCACACCUUGGGGAUCUCGGAGGAUCAGUAAACACUGCCCAUUACUCACCAGUUGUAAGAUCUCCCAGCACUAAUCCACCUUGGCAGCCAGAAGGACAUUACCAAAUGACUACACUGCCUGCUGGCUUCUUCCAGACUCCUGGCUGGGAGAGCAAACAAGUGAAUAUCCACUCUGGAAGAUGGAAUUGUUUCCAGUAGAGUCCAUCUCAAGGAGGUCCUGCAGGCAAAGCAACCAGGAUUUGAAAUGUGAUUUUUCACUUUUGUUGUUGUUAUUGAUCCAUUCCAACAAACACUGGAACAUCUGAAUUCUGUCUUGGAAGCAGUUUUCUUAAGGUUUAACUGUAUACACAUCGGAUCUGUGGCCACCAUUUUCUCUUUCUGUAGUAAUUUUAAAGGACGAUGGGAAUGCCAAAACCUGUCUCUGUUGUGUUGGCCCAGAAGAGUGAGAACUUGGGUUUUAGCAUUUGUAAAUUUAGUACUUUAUCCUCAGUGUGGAAGGUGACU
rnacentral:lncRNA from 1 species